UACGUAGGGGGCAAGCGUUGUCCGGAUUUAUUGGGCGUAAAGAGCGUGUAGGCGGCUUUGCAAGUCCGUUGUGAAAACUCGAGGCUCAACCUCGAGACGCCGGUGGAAACUGCAAAGCUAGAGUCCGGAAGAGGAGAGUGGAAUUCCUGGUGUAGCGGUGGAAUGCGCAGAUAUCAGGAGGAACACCGAUGGCGAAGGCAGAUCUCUGGGCCGUAACUGACGCUGAGGAGCGAAAGCGUGGGGAGCGAACAGG
rnacentral:rRNA from 1 species